UGAUCCAUAAUGAAUCCAUGACUAAAAGUCUUUGCAAUAGCUGAAUAAUAUGAGUGAAAACUCAGUACUGUUCCUCUCAUUGGGACAAAUCA